rnacentral:rRNA from 1 species
UACGUAGGGGGCGAGCGUUGUCCGGAAUUAUUGGGCGUAAAGGGCGCGUAGACGGCCGAGUAAGUUACUGGUGAAAGCCCAUCUUUUAAGGAUGGAACUGCCUGUAAUACUGCUUGGCUUGAGUGCAGGAGAGGGAAGCGGAAUUCCUAGUGUAGCGGUGAAAUGCGUAGAUAUUAGGAGGAACACCAGUGGCGAAGGCGGCUUUCUGGACUGUAACUGACGUUGAGGCGCGAAAGCGUGGGGAGCAAACAGG